CCCUUAGAUGUUCGGGGCCGCACGCGCGCUACACUGAAGGACUCAGCGUGUCUCUCCCCCUAUCCCGAAAGGGAUGGGCAACCCGUUGAACCUCCUUCGUGCUAGGGAUUGGGGUUUGCAAUUAUCCCCCAUGAACGAGGAAUUCCCAGUAAGCGCGAGUCAUCAGCUCGCGUUGAUUACGUCCCUGCCCUUUGUACACACCGCCCGUCGCUACUACCGAUUGGAUGGUUUAGUGAGACCCUCGGAUCGGUCCCGACUCGGGGUGGGCUUCUGCCCCGGUCAUGGUUUCGCCGAGAAGACGGUCAAACUUGACUAUCUAGAGGAAGUAAGAGUCGUAACA
rnacentral:rRNA from 1 species